rnacentral:tRNA from 1 species
GCCCUUGUGACGGAACGGUAUACGUCCUGUGGUCAGAACGCAGGUUUUGUGGGUUCAAAUCCCACCAAGGGUA